UACGUAGGUGGCAAGCGUUGUUCGGAAUUAUUGGGCGUAAAGAGCUCGUAGGCGGUUUGUCGCGUCGAAUGUGAAAACCCGGGGCUCAACCCCGGGCCUGCAUUCGAUACGGGCAGACUAGAGUUCGGUAGGGGAGUCUGGAAUUCCUGGUGUAGCGGUGAAAUGCGCAGAUAUCAGGAGGAACACCAAUGGCGAAGGCAGCACUCUGGGACGUGACUGACGCUGAGACGCGAAAGCGUGGGGAGCAAACAGG
rnacentral:rRNA from 1 species